CAAUUUUUGCACUACCCCAUUGGCAUCUUAUUCUUGGACAAUUAUUAUAUAUUUUCUCUCUCCUCUUAAUUACUCUCUCCUCUCUUUCUGUCUUAUGUUCUGUGUUACUUCUGUUGUUGAACUAGUAGUUUGAUCAGAAUUUCUUCAGCCCCACCGGCUACUACAACAGAUUGAUGAUCUGAAAAAAGCCUGGAUACAACUCUUACUUACCUCAGUCCUUGGGAUUCGUGCUCCCCAAAGAUUUCUUCUUCUUACAUGUGGGAACUAUCUUAAUUUCUACCUGCAUCUUUAUAUUAUGUUAAUUAUUUG
rnacentral:lncRNA from 1 species